rnacentral:rRNA from 1 species
UUGACGGGACCCGCACAGCAGCGGAGCGUGUGGUUUAAUUCGUUGCUACACGAAGAACCUUACCUGGGUUUGACAUAUAGGUUGUAGGGAACUGAAAAGGGACCGACCCUUCGGGGAGCCUAUACAGGUGUUGCAUGGCUGUCGUCAGCUCGUGUCGUGAGAUGUUCGGUUAAGUCCGCUAACGAGCGCAACCCUCGUCGUAUGUUAUAUGUGUCAUACGAGACUGCCGGUAAAAAGCCGGAGGAAGGUGAGGAUGAUGUCAAGUCAGCAUGACCUUUAUAUCCAGGGCUACACACACGCUACAAUGGUCUGUACAAUGGGUAGCCAAGCCGCGAGGCGGAGCCAAUCCUGAAAGCAGGCCUCAGUUCAGAUUGCAGUCUGCAACUCGACUGCAUGAAGCCGGAGUUGCUAGUAACCGCAGGUCAGCUAUACUGCGUUGAAUACGUUCCCGGGGUUU